GAAAAUAACAAUGAUUCCCCUAGUAACGGCGAGUGAAGCGGGAAGAGCUCAAGCUGAAAAUCGUUUUCUUCGGACGGCGAAUUGUGGCCUAGAGACGUUCUAUCAGUACGAACCCAGGUAUAAGUCCCUUGAAACAGGGUAUCAUAGAGGGUGAGAAUCCCGUUUGUGACUUGGAGUUUCGUGCGUACGAUGUUCGUUCAUAGAGUCGUGUUGCUUGGGAGUGCAGCACUAAAUGGGUGGUAAAUUUCAUCUAAAGCUAAAUAUCGACUGGAGACCGAUAGCGAACAAGUACCGUGAGGGAAAGAUGAAAAGCACUUUGGAAAGAGAGUUAAACAGUAUGUGAAAUUGUUGAAAGGGAAACGAUUGAAGUCAGUCAUGUCUAUUGGACUCAGCCGGUUCUUCCGGUGUAUUUCCUUUAGAUGGGGUCAACAUCAGUUUUGACCGCUGGAUAAAGGUUUGAAGAAUGUAGCACUCUCGGGUGAACUUAUAGCUUCUUGUCAUAUACAGUGGUUGGGACUGAGGAACGCAGCAUGCCUUUAUGGCCGGGAUUCGUCCACGUACAUGCUUAGGAUGUUGACAUAAUGGCUUUAAACGACCCGUCUUGUAACACGGACCAAGGAGUCUAACAUGUUUGCGAGUCUUUGGGUGGAAAACCCAUGGGCGUAAUUAAUGUAAAUGCAGGUGGGAUGCGCAAGCAGCACCAUCGACCGAUCUGGAUCAUUUAUGUGAUGGAUUUGAGUAAGAGCACAUAUGUUGGGACCCGAAAGAUGGUGAACUAUGCCUGAAUAGGGCGAAGCCAGAGGAAACUCUGGUGGAGGCUCGUAGCGGUUCUGACGUGCAAAUCGAUCGUCAAAUUUGGGUAUAGGGGCGAAAGACUAAUCGAACCAUCUAGU
rnacentral:rRNA from 1 species